AGCAGCCGCAGUAAUUUCAGCUCCAAUAGUGUAUAUUAAAGUUGUUGCAGUUAAAAAGCUCGUAGUUGAAUUUCGGGAUCAAUAUAUUGGUCAUGCUUAGGUAUGUACUGGUAUUAUUGAUUUCUCCCUUCUGAAGAACCAUGAUGUCAUUAAUUUGAUGUACGUGGGGAAUCAGGACUGUUACUUUGAAAAAAUUAGAGUGUUUAAAGCAGGCUUUCGCUUGAAUACAUUAGCAUGGAAUAAUGAAAUAGGACGUUUGAUUCUAUUUUGUGGUUUCUAGGAUCGACGUAAUGAUUAAUAGGGAUAGUUGGGGGCAUUAGUAUUCAAUUGUCAGAGGUGAAAUUCUUGGAUUUAUUGAAAGACUAACUACUGCGAAAGCAAUUUGCCAAAGGAUGUUUUCAUUAAUCAAGAACGAAAGUUAGGGGAUCGAAGACGAUCAGAUACCGUCGUAGUCUUAACCAUAAACUAUGCCGACUAGGAUCGGAUGAUGUUAAUUUUUAAUGACUC
rnacentral:rRNA from 1 species